rnacentral:tRNA from 1 species
AUUGUUUUGGCAGAAUUUAUGCAUAGAUUUUAGGAAUCUAUUAUAUAUAAGUAAGUUUAAAUUAUAUAAAUAAUA